rnacentral:rRNA from 1 species
UACAGAGGUCCCAAGCGUUGUUCGGAUUCACUGGGCGUAAAGGGUGCGUAGGCGGUCGGGUAAGUCUGAUGUGAAAUCUCACAGCUUAACUGUGAAACUGCAUUGGAUACUACUUCGGCUAGAGAGUUGGAGGGGGGACUGGAAUUCUUGGUGUAGCAGUGAAAUGCGUAGAUAUCAAGAGGAACACCAGUGGCGAAGGCGAGUCCCUGGACAACUUCUGACGCUGAGGCACGAAAGCUAGGGGAGCAAACAGG